rnacentral:pre_miRNA from 1 species
GAGACACCCUUCUGGGGCAAGACUUGCUUCAAUGGGGCUUUGGGGCUCACUGAGUCUGCCCCCUGAGUGUGACCCU